ensembl:lncRNA
UUUUAAGUAAUUUUAUUUAAUGCACCGUAAUCAUUUAUAUUAUAACAUAAAAUGUCAAAUGUUAUUUUGAUGACUCAGACACCGCUCUGGGUUUGUAGCCCCGGUUUUGCAGUGUUACUAUCAGAGCUCAGCGCUGCCAAAAUCCCAUCACGUUUUUCCGUACAGGAGAGUCCUCUGGAAUCCCGUGAUUCACAUAUGGUCUCUCACAUCAGCGUCCGCACUAAUCAGAGCCAGCUUCGCAGUGUGUGUGUUGCGUGAGGCUGUCGUGUUUGCCUGCCAUUAUUCUCUUUAACCUGGCUGUGAAAGGCUGGCCGUGACCCCGGAGGGUCGGGAAGGUUGAGGACUUGGCAGCCGCCAGCGUGUGGAUGCAGGUCUCACGGCGGACGAGCCGAUCCCGGUCUGGAGCUAAUCACUGUUUACUAGAAUCAUUUCCACUUUUCAGCGAGCUACUGUCACGCACGGCCCUGGGAGGGAGGAGGAGGUAAGGGAAGCCCGGGGGUCCGAUGGAGCCGGCGGGAUUCAGGGAAAAAGGACGAGCUGAAAAAAACUGUAGGAAUGCAAAUGCAGAUUAAACAGCAGCGGUGAUCCAGAACCCCAAACGAGCGACUGACACUCAGUGAGAGGAAAUGAACACACUCUCUCUCGCUGCAGGACACUAACCAGUGCUUUAUGAGUGUGACUCACCAGUGCCAUCUUGACCAUGUUAGCGCUCGAUGGAGUCUAUUAACGGCGGUGACAUGAUGCUGAUUCACUUGAGCUCUGCUUUUUUUUGCUCAAGAGCAUUUGGAUGAUUUAAACUGUAGAGUUUCACAUUUUUGCAGAAAAUAGCAGCCAGUGUUUUGAGUGGUUGCCAGGGUGUUGCUAUGCAGUCGGUAAAGUGUUUUGAGUGGGUUUUAGCAUGUUGCUAGGGAGUCACUGCUGUAGCCGGUUGCCAGGGCAUUGCUAUGCAGUUGCUAGGGAGUUACAACAGUGGGUCACUGCCAGAGUGUUGGUAGGGAGUUACUUCAUUUGAAUGUUGCCAGGGUGUCGCUAUGCAGUUGCUAGGGAGUUACUACAGCGGGAUGUUUACAGGGUGUCGCUAUGCAGUUGCUAGGGAGUUACUACAGUGGGACGUUUACAGGGUGUCGCUAUGCAGUUGCUAGGGAGUCACUACAGCGGGACGUUUACAGGGUGUCGCUAUGCAGUUGCUAGGGAGUCACUACAGCGGGACGUUUACAGGGUGUCGCGAUGCAGUUGCUAGGGAGUCACUACAGCGGGAUCUUUACAGGGUGUCGCUAUGCAGUUGCUAGGGAGUCUCUACAGCGGGACGUUUACAGGGUGUCGCUAAGCAGUUGCUAGGGAGUCACUACAGCGGGACGUUUACAGGGUGUCGCUAAGCAGUUGCUAGGGAGUUACUGCUGCAGGUUGUUGCUAGGACAUUGCUAUAUAGUUUGCUAGGGAUUUACAACAGUAGGUGUUUGCCACUGUGUGUUGCUAUGCACUUGCUAGGGAGUUACUUUGGUAGGUCGUUGUCAGGGUGAUGAUAUAAAGUUUCUAGGGAGUUCCUGCAGCAGGUUGUUGCCAGGGUGUUGCUAUGCAGUUGCUAGUAUGUUACUGCAGCAUGCUGUUGCCAGGGCGUUGCUAUUGCUAUAUAUAGUACAGAAAUAGAUUAUAAAGGCAUAGGUUAUUUUAUCUUUAUACGUUUUAUUUUAAUCUUGAAACUAGAAAGCUGCUGUUGUGCUCUGUGUGAUUUAUAGUUUUAUGACGUGCUUGAACAUUUUGUUUUUGUUACAUAAAUCAUCACAAGAAUAUCCAAGAUUUCCAAAAACAGGCUAUCUUUAACCGAAUCCAGUGACGUUAUUAAAUUAUUGCGGUCUGUUCUAAAACGAGAGCGAGUCACCUGAGGGAACGCGAGUGCACAGACGUCUCACAGCGGGAUGCUUGUGCUUUUGCCAGGUGUGUUCUGAUGUCUUCUGCAGAGGUUUCUUGCGUGCGAGGAUGAGUUUGCGUGCCACACCGGCCUCGCGUGCGCAGAUCCCGGUCACCGGCCCCGACCUCCCCUGGGACGAGGAGGAGGAGGAGAUUAAAAUGAGACGGGGAAGGGGAAAAAAAAUACGACGAGAAAUGGCUUCCAGAUGACCCCGAUUUGAGUUGGUUAGCUCAUUUGUAGCUGGCAGACGGACUUUGACAGGAACGAUUACAGCAGCCUGAAGCUCCACACAGCAGCAGCACAUCUCCAGCUUAAUGAAGGAUUACUCACACAUACAUCUGCACUAUUCACAAAUUAGAAUCAGUAACUUUCUCACUAUAAAUAAACUUUCUGUUCUACAAUGUGGGCUUCAGUAAUAAGACUUUUUAAAGUGUUUAAAUACAUUGAUUAAAUGGUUUUAUACUACGAAAACAAUCUUUAAAACUCAAAAUAGACUUUUAUUACUUUUACGACUAUAAUUAUUGUGAAAAAAAUAAGUUGCCAUGAAGUUGCUCUUCACAUUGUGUAAUUGUUUGGAUAAUUAGUUCUUUAGUUCGAUUCUUUUGGUUUUGUGUAUCCUUUCCAAUACACCAAAGAAAACUUUAUUUGUUGUCUAUAACACAUAUGAUUUCUUUUUUUUUUUUUUCUUUUUUUUAAUGAACAUUAUAAAUCUAGUCAUGGUCAUGAUGGUUUGGUUAGUUAGUAUGGGUUGUUAGUUAGCACCUGUUGGUAGAUUCUGUAACUACACCAUAAUGCUGCCAAAAAACAUCUUUCACAAGUAGCCAUGUAUUCUGAUUAAAUAAUUAUUUGCUUGCAACAUAAAGUAGAAUAAAUAAAUAUAAAAUAAUUAGAUGCUUUUCCAGUGAUUAUUUGCUUUAUGUAUUGCACUUAAAAGUGAUUUAUUUUUU